rnacentral:rRNA from 1 species
UACGUAGGGAGCAAGCGUUGUCCGGAAUCAUUGGGCGUAAAGCGCGCGUAGGUGGCUUCAUAAGUCCGUUGUGAAAGUCAAAGGCUCAACCUUUGAAAGCCGAUGGAUACUGUGAAGCUAGAGUACGGAAGAGGCGAGUGGAAUUCCUGGUGUAGCGGUGGAAAUGCGCAGAUAUCAGGAGGAACACCAAUAGCGAAGGCAG